rnacentral:rRNA from 1 species
UACGUAGGGGGCUAGCGUUGUCCGGAUUUAUUGGGCGUAAAGCGCGUGUAGGCGGCCAGGUAGGUCCGUUGUGAAAACUCGAGGCUCAACCUCGAGACGUCGAUGGAAACCAUCUGGCUAGAGUCCGGAAGAGGAGAGUGGAAUUCCUGGUGUAGCGGUGUAAUGCGCAGAUAUCAAGAAGAACACCUAUGGCGAAGGCAGCUCUCUGGGACGGUACUGACGCUGAGACGCGAAAGCGUGGGGAGCGAACAGG